AAAAUUAAUUAUAAAAAGACAUGUAAGGAAUAAGCUAAGUUGUCGGUUUGGGUUCGGGCACAAAUACAUAUAGUAUUUGAAAAAUUAAUUAUAAAAAGACAUGUAAGGAAUAAGCUAAGUUGCCGGUUUGGGUUUGGGCACCAGUUCGGGUUCGAAAAACCGGUAGUAGAGACGAGCACAUCCAGCCUCGAAAAACAGGGUAUCUGAUACCCCCAACAGGUAUGGCAAAAUUUUGAAAAGGGGUUUAGGUUUGUAGUACAAAAACUCUAUCUAUCUAUUUAUAUAUAGCCUAGAAGCAUGCAUUAAGAUUAGAAUGUCACAUAACAUCAUAUAAAGAACCAAACCACCAUAAACUUGUAGUCAUAGCAUCAUAUACAUCAAGUUCGAUAUCAAAUUAAUAAUAUCGAAUUCAAGUAUCAUUUUUUCAACAAUUAAAUAUCUGCUCUAAGCUGCAAUUAAUAAUGUUUAUAUUAGAGGAUGACCUAGCAAACUGGAGCGCUUAGAGGAAACCACUACUACCUGCCAAUUGUACUCUGGUUGAUUAGCUUGUGUUGACACCUCCUAUGCCUUGUGUUAAGCCUUUUCUAUGGUCUUCUGGCUGAUUUGAAUGUUCUUCACCCCAAUGUUGUUCUCUAAUCAUUAAACCAAUAGAUCUGAUGCCCAUUCACAUUGAUUAAUAAUGCUCCAGUUUGGCAUCUUGAGGAUAUUCUGAAGCCCUUGGUGGUACUCUUUUAACAUUUUGGAGUCUCCUCUGUCACGUUUUGGUAUUUAGUAAGGCAAAAACAAACUUUUGGAGGAUUCAGGGUAUACAAGAUUAACUGUAAACCUUGUGGUAAGGAGCAAUAAGGUUGUUUUUAUAUAAGGGUGCAUGUUGGUGGUAUUCAACACCUUGAUCAAACUAGGUGUGUUUUGUAACUUGAAAAUGAGUUUUUUAGCACUUGAACAUGGUUAUGCAUGCAUCCGUCACAAUCCAAUCCUCACCACAAAUUUAAUGCUAUCAGUCAAGUCAAAGACAUUUGUAAGAUUUUGAGGUACCGACAGAUUUCAAGUGGCUGAUUGCAAAAAAAAAUAAUGUUUUUUGGUGCCCAAGUGUCUGGGUUUGCCCUAGACAAACCAGCUCGUUUGGGCACGAACCUAGGCUGAACCCACAAGCGAAUCCAGAGCAGGGCCAGUACCAAAACCGAAUCGGACCAAUACUAGGCCUUCAGACCAGCGAACCUUGCAACUUAGGGAAUACGUAUAAGAAUUGUGGAGGUUACAAUUCUUCAUCUUAGACUGUUCCAGAUUUGUAACGGCAGACCUAUUUUGUGUGUCUCUUGAAGUGGAGGCUGCAUGGCAGGGGCGGCUUAUUUAAAUCUUGUGCGCCUAAUGUGUCAAUAGGGGAGAGCUAGCAAUGAAUGGUGGCGGCUCAUGGAAGGCAAAAAUAGACAACGCACAACACAAUAUGGGGCAUAUGAAUUAAAGGCUGCACAUUUUGUCUUAAAUAAGGCAGUGUAUAGUGUUAGAGAAAAAAGGGGGGUCUUUACUUUAUUUUGAAGAAUAUUUGGCUGUGAAAACUCACUGCAUAGGAAGCUACACAUUGGGAGAAGUAGCGUAGAAAAAUUAGGAUAGAGAGAGGAGAUUUAAGGAUGAGGGAGAUGUUGUCCCUUUAGAGAGUGUGCAAACAGAUUUGGAUUCAAUGGAAUCAGUAAUUUAUUUCUGUUAA